UUUAACUGUCAAAUUACCGAGGAUAUUUACAAACGUUCGUCACCGCUAUGCAGUUACAAAACAUUUCAGUAUUAACGAAGAUGAAUCGACUCUGGUUCGAUGAUAAUGAAACCGGCUACGACAUCGGCGGAACUCGGAAUACGCUGCGAAUUGUUUUAAUUAAAAAGGGGGCUUCCGGUGAGGGGAUGAGUCGUUGGUGACUACUUUAUGCUAUAUUAAUUGAAGUUAUGAAAAAGUGUCGUCUAGACUAUUCACAAAGGCUUUGCUGAUUUGAUUUAAGCAGAUGUCAUAUUUCGAAGUUUGGUUUUCAAUGAGUUUUACUGGUUUUAUUCUGCUGCACAAAUAAAUACAAGUAUUCGUUAAAUUUUAUUACAAGCAUUGCUAGUACUAGUGAAAUAUUUAUUCCCAGUUAACGGAAUUGGUCAAGUAAAUGCUAGUGAGAAAAGCGAAGUAAAUAAAAUGGAAUUCAGGACAAA